ACGGAGGGUCCGAGCGUUAUCCGGAAUCAUUGGGUUUAAAGGGUCCGUAGGCGGACAGCUCAGUCAGUGGUGAAAGUUUGCAGCUCAACUGUAAAAUUGCCAUUGAUACUGGUUGUCUUGAAUUAAUGUGAAGUGGUUAGAAUAAGUAGUGUAGCGGUGAAAUGCAUAGAUAUUACUUAGAAUACCAAUUGCGAAGGCAGAUCACUAACAUUAUAUUGACGCUGAUGGACGAAAGCGUGGGGAGCGAACAGG
rnacentral:rRNA from 1 species